GGACCCGCACAAGCAGUGGAGCAUGUGGUUUAAUUCGAUGCAACGCGAAGAACCUUACCCAGGCUUGACAUGCAGUAGACAGCUCCAGAAAUGGAGUCUUCCUUCGGGACUGCUGCACAGGUGCUGCAUGGCUGUCGUCAGCUCGUGCCGUGAGGUGUUGGGUUAAGUCCCGCAACGAGCGCAACCCUUAUCAUUAGUUGCCAACAUUUAAGGUGGGAACUCUAAUGAGACUGCCUGGGUUAACCAGGAGGAAGGUGAGGAUGACGUCAAGUCCGCAUGGCCCUUAUGUCUGGGGCUACACACGUGCUACAAUGGCCGGUACAAUAGGCAGCGAAACCGUGAGGUGAAGCAAAUCCCAAAAGCCGGCCCCAGUUCAGAUUGUAGUCUGCAACUCGACUACAUGAAGAUGGAAUUGCUAGUAAUGGCGAAUCAGCUACAUCGCCGUGAAUACGUUCCCGGGUCUUGUACACACCGCCCGUCACAUCAUGGGAGUUGGUUUUACCCGAAGCCGCUGGCUCAACCGCAAGGAGAGAAGCGUCGAAGGUAUGGCCGAUGACUGGGAUG
rnacentral:rRNA from 1 species